rnacentral:lncRNA from 1 species
AUGAAGUUCAGUCCCUUUGUGACUUCCGACUGAAGCAAGAAUCACAAAAGGCAUUUCAAUACACCUUCCCACAUUCGCAGGAAGAUUAUGUCUUCCCCUCUUUCCGAAGAGCUGAGACAGAAGUACAACAUGUGAUCCGUGCCCAUCUGAAAGAAUGAUGAAGUUCAGGUUGUAUGAGGACACCAUAAAGGUCAGCAAAUUGGCAAAGUAGUCCAGGUUUACAGGAAGAAAUAUAUUAUCUACAUUGAACGGGUGCAGUGGAAAAAGGCUAAUGGCACAACUGUCCAUGUGGGCCCUCGCCCCAGCAAGGUGGGUAUCACUAGGCUAAAACUGGACAAAGACCGCAAAAAGAUCCUUGAACAGAAAGCCAAAUCUCGCCAAGUAGGAAAGGAAAAGAGCAAAUACAAGGAAGAAACAAUUGAGAAGAUGUAGGAA